CAAGGUUUCUGUAGGUGAACCUGCAGAAGGAUCAUUAUUUAAUCCAAAUGAGUGCACUUUAUUGUGGCUCAAAACUUUUUCUUUUUUAACCCCAAGACUUGUUUGUGUGGCGUCUUUGCCAUUGCACUCAGGUAUACGUAACACUUUUGUGUUACAUUACCCCCCUCCCAAAUUUUUUUUUUUUUUAUAAACACAUGUUGAAAUAAGAAUGUAAUAUAUAUAUUUUGAAAAUAACUUUUAACAAUGGAUCUCUAGGCUCUCAUAUCGAUGAAGAACACAGUGAAAUGUGAUAAGUAAUGUGAAUUGCAGAAUUCAGUGAAUCAUUGAAUCUUUGAACGCACCUUGCAUCUUUUGGUAUUCCAAAAGGUAUGCCUGUUUGAGUGUCAUGAAAAUCUCUCACCAAAUUAAUUUUUGGUGGAUGUUGAGUGCUGCUGUUAUCUAGCUCACUUUAAAUAUAUAAGUUCUUAUCUUAUUAUGUUGGAUUGACUUGGUGUAAUAUUUAACUUUUGUUUCACCAAGGAAAGCUGCAAUGCUUGCCAAUGUUUUCAAGUCAGGACUCCUAAACAAAUUUUUUUUAAUUGUAUUUUAAGACCUCGAAUCAGGUGGGACUACCUGCUGAACUUAAGCAUAUCAAUAAGCAGAGGAAAAGAAACUAACAAGGAUUCCCCUAGUAAUGGCGAAUGAAGAGGGAAAAGCC
rnacentral:rRNA from 1 species